CCUGCGGUUUAAUUGGACUCAACGCCGGGCAGCUCACCGGAUAAGACAGCUGGAUGAUAGCCGGGCUGAAGACUCUGCUUGACUAGCUGAGAGGAGGUGCAUGGCCGUCGUCAGUUCGUACUGUGAAGCAUCCUGUUAAGUCAGGCAACGAGCGAGACCCACGCCAACAGUUGCCAGCAUGUCCUCCGGGAUGAUGGGGACACUGUUGGGACCGCCUCUGCUAAAGAGGAGGAAGGAAUGGGCAACGGUAGGUCAGCAUGCCCCGAAUUAUCCGGGCUACACGCGGGCUACAAUGGUCAGGACAAUGGGUAUCGACACCGAGAGGUGGAGGCAAUCUCCUAAACCUGGCCUUAGUUCGGAUUGAGGGCUGUAACUCGCCCUCAUGAAGCUGGAAUGCGUAGUAAUCGCGUGUCAUAACCGCGCGGUGAAUACGUCCCUGCUCCUU
rnacentral:rRNA from 1 species